rnacentral:rRNA from 1 species
UACGGAGGAUGCGAGCGUUAUCCGGAUUUAUUGGGUUUAAAGGGUGCGUAGGCGGACGCUUAAGUCAGCGGUAAAAUUGCGGGGCUCAACCUCGUCGAGCCGUUGAAACUGGGUGCCUUGAGUGGGCGAGAAGUACGCGGAAUGCGUGGUGUAGCGGUGAAAUGCAUAGAUAUCACGUAGAACUCCGAUUGCGAAGGCAGCGUACCGGCGCCCUACUGACGCUGAAGCACGAAGGCGUGGGUAUCGAACAGG